GUGCUCACUUUAACGUCAUAUACACUAACAUUAGAAUGAUGCAGAGAGGGAUUAACAUAACCCCUGAACAAGGAUGAUACACAAAUUUGUGACGUGUUCCAUAUUUUU
ensembl:snRNA U6 U6 spliceosomal RNA